rnacentral:lncRNA from 1 species
UCCACAGAAAAAAAACUCAUGAACUUGGAGAACAGACUUGUGGUUGCCCAGGGGGAGGAGGAGGGAACGGGAUGGACUGCGAAUCUGGGGUUAAUAGAUGCAAACUAUUACCUUUGGAAAGAAUUAGCAAUGAGCUCCUGCUGUAUAGCACUGGGAACUAUAUCUAGUCAUUUAUGAUGGAGCAUGAUGGAGGAUAAUGUGAGAAAAAGAAUUAUAUAAGUAUGUUUGAUUGGGUCACUUUGCUGUACAGUAGGAAAUUGACAGAACACUGUAAACCAACUAUAAUGGAAAAAAUAAAAAUCAUUAAAAAAGAAAAGAUUAGAUAUAUCUGUUGGAGGUAUCCAGCGAUCUGCCUUCUAAUUUUUCCUGACCCAUGAUUAGACAUGCUUUUAUUAUGUGCCAUUGACACUCAAUGAUUAUUCCAUCCAUGAUUUAGGAUUAGUGUGUCUGAUACUUAAUGAGGGUGGGCUUUUUAUGAUACAAGGCAGAGAAUUUCAUAAAUUAUUUUAAAGUUUUCGAUGAGUAUGGUAAGAUAGAGAUGAUGGUUCCAAAAACUCUUGGAGAGAAACACAGUUUGUUCGUAUCUCUGUCCAUAUGUAUGUCUUGGCUAAAUUCUCCCUCCCCAACUGUGCCGAAGACCUGGAAUAGACAGAAGAGAGCUGUGAAAACCUGGAAAGUACUGCUUUGGGAUUUUCUUAACAUUGAGAAAAUGGAGGAGUCCUUGUUACUAACAGAAUCCUCUUCUUGAAGAAAUGGAAUUUUUUCAUGGAGGAAGAAUUGACAAACAAGGGAGAGCCUCACAAAUAAAACACCUGAAAACAACA